GGGGGAUUAGCUCAGUUGGUAGAGCGAUUGCAUGGCAUGCAAUAGGUCAGGAGUUCGAGCCUCCUAUCCUCCACCA
rnacentral:tRNA from 1 species